UCUACGGGACGCAGCAGCCUACGGGAGGCAGCAGUGAGGAAUCUUGCGCAAUGGGGGCAACCCUGACGCAGCCACGCCGCGUGCUGGAAGACAGCCCUAUGGGUUGUAAACAGCUUUUACUAGGGAAGAACCUGGACCUUUCGAGGACCACUGACGGUACCUAGUGAAUAAGCACCGGCUAACUCCGUGCCAGCAGCCGCGGUAAUACGGAGGGUGCAAGCGUUGUCCGGAAUCAUUGGGUGUAAAGGGUGUGCAGGCGGAAGUCUAAGUCGGAGGUGAAAUCUUGCCGCUUAACGGUAAAAGGGCCUUCGAAACUGGAUUUCUUGAGUUCGGAAGAGGUUGGUGGAAUUCGUGGUGUAGCGGUGAAAUGCAUAGAUAUCACGAAGAACACCGGUGGCGAAGGCGGCCAACUGGUCCGACACUGACGCUGAGACACGAGAGCGUGGGGAGCGAACAGGAUUAGAUACCCUGGUAGUCCACGCUGUAAACGAUGCAUGCUAGUUGUUGUCCCUUCGGGGGCAGUGACGCAGUUAACGCAGUAAGCAUGCCACCUGGGGAGUACGUUCGCAAGAAUGAAACUUAAAGGAAUUGACGGA
rnacentral:rRNA from 1 species